GCCGGGCGCGGUGGCUCACGCCUGUAAUCCCAGCACUUUGGGAGGCUGAGGCGGGAGGAUCACCUGAGGUCGGGAGUUCGCGACCAGCCUGACCAACAUGGAGAAACCCCGUCUCUA
rfam:Pan troglodytes isolate Yerkes chimp pedigree #C0471 (Clint) chromosome 2B, whole genome shotgun sequence.